rnacentral:rRNA from 1 species
ACGGACUCCUGGAUGGGUAACUUGAAAGGAAGUCAGUGGCGAACGGGUGAGGAAUGCAUGGAUAACGUACCCCAGACUCAGGGAUAGCGGCGGACCUUUGGUCCUUUGCGAAAGCGCCGGUAAUACCUGAUGAUCCCCUUGUGUCGCAUGGCAUGAGGGGCAAAGCUCCGACGGUCUGGGAGCGAUUCAUGUCCUAUCAGCUUGUUGGUGGGGUAACGGCCUACCAAGGCGACGACGGGUAGCGGGCGUGAGAGCGCGUCCCGCCACAUCGGAACUGAGACACUGUCCGGACACCUACGGGUGGCUGCAGCAACGAAUAUUCCCCAAUGGACGCAAGUCUGAGGGAGCGACGCCGCGUGCAGGAAGAAGUCCCUCGGGAUGUAAACUGCUGUCAGGGGUUAGGAAGAUCUGACCAGCCCCAGAGGAAGCACCGGCUAACUCCGUGCCAGCAGCCGCGGUAAUACGGAGGGUGCAAGCGUUGUUCGGAAUUACUGGGCUUAAAGCGCGUGCAGGCGGAAUAUCAGGUGCCUUGUGAAAGCCCUCGGCUCAACCGAGGAACUGCUCGGCAAACCGGUAUUCUUGAGACAGGUAGAGGUGAUUGGAACGACUGGUGGAGCGGUGAAAUGCGUAGAUAUCAGUUGGAACGCCGGUGGCGAAAGCGGAUCACUGGACCUGCUCUGACGCUGAGACGCGAAAGCGUGGGUAGCAAACAGGAUUAGAUACCCUGGUAGUCCACGCCGUAAACGAUGCGCACUAGGUAUGAGAGGUUCUGACGCCGAUCGUGCCGAAGCAAAAGUGAUAAGUGCGCCGCCUGGGGAGUACGGCCGCAAGGCUAAAACUCAAAGGAAUUGACGGGGGCUCACACAAGCG